UUAGUGGCUCAGCUGAUGUUCAUUCACAUCCACUGAGCUGCAGAUAGCAGUUGUAUGGCUGCACUGCAUUCUGGAGCUGGAAACCAAUCCGAAUUUUUAAAAAUAGUGAUUUAAACUAGUAAUAAUGUGCUGAGUAUGGCUCUGGUUUGGUGUCUGAAGCCUGUAGGGGCUGGGGUGGGAAGGGAAGGCUCCUCCAGCAGCAGUCCUCAGCCUGGAGGUGCUGCUGCUGGGUGUACUGGGAGCAGCACAGGCUGAACUGGGAGCGAGGGGAGGUGGCUGGCUGGCAGCCUCGGCCACACCAGGGGCCUGGGACAUGGCUGGGACUGAAAGUGUAGGUGGGAAGGAGGCUGCUCUCCUGCCUUCUGCCCCAGUAGAAAACCCCGUGUUGGCUCUUACAAAGAAAUGUGCCAGGAUUCAUGGUGAAGUCAGGCAAAGCCCUCAGAUGUGUUCUAGAGAUCCAACCAGGUUGGAUGCUCGAGCUGUAGAUCUUACAAGAUGAAUGAUGGAAGCGUGGAACUUGGUGAUGUGACAGGGAAGUUCUCCAGACAGGAGCUCGGAGCCUGGUUAGCAAGUCGCUGAGUCCAGAAAGUGAAACUGAACUACCCAAAAAUGCUCUUUCACUUUUGUAGAAACUCACUGAAAAGGAGGAAAAAAAAAAAAAAAAGGUUCUGAAUGAGCAGACGUUAAACUGGGCUUGGAUUUGGGAUGAAUAACCUGCGGUAGGGCUUAAUUCCAGUCCAAAGCAUGCUGAUGGGAUGGGUCUGAGCGCUGAUACUCUGAAAUACUGAAGAUUGUUCAAGUCAUGGUCAGAAAGAACCCAUCUCUCGUGUAAGAUCAGCUCAGGCACUGUGAAUAUUACAGAACCGCGCGUUGAGCAGCUUAUUGAGCCCUUGUGCAGGGAGCGCUGGCUGAUGCGUGCAUUUUUUCCAAAUACCAGUAUUUUAAUGUCUGUUUGGAAGAGAAAAAUUUGACUGAAAAGCUCAAUUAGUAGUUGAAAGAACUUGGUUUUUUAUUUUUUCAGCCUUUUGAUGUUUGGAUGAAUGUGAGAGUGAGAUUUCUGAUUCAGGACGCUUGGAGGGGCGGGGGCAGGCUGGGGCCUGCUGCCCCUCCCAGCAGAGCUGCUGCCCUGUUGCUUUGCUCCGUGGCUGCAUGCACCAGUCAGGCACUUGCCAGGAUGCCAAACUGGCAAAACUGGGGGUGGGUGUUGGGGAUUUUUGUUUGGUUUUGUUGUUUUUCAGUAACUCCCUGCAGAGUAAUGGCAGAGAGGGUGCCAAGCUUUGGUUGGGGUGGGUGAGCAAGGGCUGUGGCACCCCCACAAUGGGUCGGCACGGCUUGCUGGGAUUCCCAGGCAUCAGAGGGUUCGAGGUGGGCUUCUUGCUGCUGGAGGGGAGGAAAAACACCAAGCCGUGGGGUUGACACAGCUUCUCCUUGGUCAGCACCCUCAUCUCGGGCACUUCUGACCGCUCGCGGGUGCUCAAAAGCACAGCCCUGGUUGUUACUGCUCCUGGGCAGGCAGCUGCUGUUCCUCACACCAGCGUUUGUUGGUUCCUCCAACAAACUCCGAGCAUUUCUUGCCCCUCAGGGAGGUGGUUCAGCCUGCAGACCCACAACAAACAACUUCAGCUUCCCUCUGCAGCCUGAAUUCGUGGGGCUAACAACUGGAGUCGGCUUCCUGAGGGGUCAGCCCAAGCCGGGGAGAAGCAGCAGCGUGCUGUGCUGGGGGGGAGCGUAAUGUCUGGAAACAUUUCUGCUACCCAAACGCUCCUCGCCGUGGCGUUGAGCACGCCUCUCGGGAGUGGCCACGGAGCCGUCCUCAGGAAGUGUUUCAGCUCCCCAGCACUUGGUGUGCUCGCUGCUGCCUUCCCUCCGCUUCUCCUACAAGCCAUUGAAGAGAAAACGAUAUCAACUCUGUAUUAAUGUUUCUCUGCUAAUCCAGUCAGGUCCCAAACGGUGCACGGGAAUGGUUGCUUGUGGUGCUCGGCGCGUGGCCGGGUCUGCUUUCAGCUGCAGCGGGGUGCCAUCGCUCUGUAGGCUCCCCGUUGGUCCGAGUAAGAAAUUUUGGGGUCGUGCAACAAGUUGAGGCUGCACCUUGUAAUGGGUGUGAAGAACAAAUGAAGACACCUCGCUGGAGUUGUGUGCUUUGGGUAAGGCAGCUGGGUUCUGAGCAGCUGUUGGGACCGUGCUCCGUGCUACGCCUCGAGAAGGAAAUCCUCCUGGUGCAGCCCCUGCUUCUGUUAGAGGUGCCGUUGAAAUAUUUUUGUUGAAGAGUUUUUGCUACUAUCUACGGGAUUGAAGGUGUCUCCAGGCAAAGGCUACUUCAGCAAGGCUGCAGUUGGCUUCCCCUCAAGCAUGCCGCUGCAGAUCUGGGGAGACAAACCAGGUGCCUGAAAGGCCCGGGUUGAUGAUCCCAGUGAAACCCUGGGCACCACCUGCUGCCCCUUCCCAGCCUUCUGGUGGAGAGAUUUAGGUUAUACAGGGUGAAAGUAAGGUGCAUUAAAGGCAACCCAUGGCUCUUGCCAGUUGGGUGCCGUGAAACUGAUCAGGCAGUGCCUGCAGGGCAAAAUUUAGACUCAGCUUGUUGUUUUUUUGUUUUUUUUUUUAAAUCAAAUACUAAUGAACAGAAAAACUAUAUCCAUUGUCCAGCUGGUCUGGUGUGAGAAGUCGUCACUAGAAACCGAAAUGGAAUCAGGACGGGGAAGGGAAGGGCCAAGCGGUGCUGGUGUGGAGGCCCAGAUGGACACAUCUGAAACAUUCAUCGCCUGUUCUGCAAACAGGAAUUCUGGCAUGAAGCAACCAAAUUAAAAAAUAAAUUCAUCGUGUUGAUAAAGGCUUCUGUUUCAUGUGCAGAAGGGCUUGAAUGUCAUAGUUUCGGCUGUAGACGUGUUCACAUACAUGUGAACACAUUAAAUGAGGGACGACAG